CCACUAUUCCUGUCCCUGGUUUUCCGCGAAUGCUGCCCCCUUACCCUGGCUUCAUUUUUCAAGAUUCAAGUCCAGCGUCAUUUCCUGGAAAAGACUCCUCUCUGCAGCUGCUGAGUCACGCUUGGACCCUCAAAUGUAACCCCGAAUAUCAGCAGCAGACCCCCCCACCCCUGGGGGAAAAGUCUCCAAUCAGAGAUCCUCUGAGGCGAGCCAAGAGCGGUUUUGGAGGGAGCAGCGCAUAUUUUGAGCCUCAACUGUGUACUUCUGAGACAGACUGGGACCUGCGAAGAAAAGGCCAAAACCCAACUGCCACUCUUGAGGUGCAGGAGCAAAAGCAGGGGACUGAGCUUGCACCACAGCACCAUCAAGCGGAUGAGCAGACCACCUAAGCCAGCCCUGAAGCCCGAACCACCGAUGGGCCCCUAUGCUCACCCCAUUUAAGAGACUGGCCCAAAUCAACCCCCCACCCCCUGCCACCCCUCAUCAGGGAGCAAGCAAGGGAAACUGUUUCUUGUUCUCAUGCCCUCCUGCUGUAAUUGAGUCCCAAUAAAGCCUUGCCUGAAGUCCUUGUCUGGACACCCCUGAGCAACUUAACAAUAAGAGACCAAGAACCCACGUCAGUUAACACUUCCAGUUCUUGCUUUCAAUUCUCCUCUGGCCCUAAAUCCUAUCCACACAAAAAUCUCCUCUCUUCUACCCAGCCUUUCCAAGCUCUCUGAGGCCAUAGCAUGGUGCUUUUCCUUCUGAUUGAGCAGAACUUCUCUGAUGUAAUAUGUACACGUGACAUUUAAGCAAUUCGGGGUUGUUCGUGAUAAUUGUUUUAGUGUUUUGUAUUUGUGGUGAGGUUGUAAACUCAAGGGAC
ensembl:lncRNA